GAUGAACGCUGGCGGCGUGCCUAAUACAUGCAAGUCGAGCGAACGGACGAGAAGCUUGCUUCUCUGAUGUUAGCGGCGGACGGGUGAGUAACACGUGGAUAACCUACCUAUAAGACUGGGAUAACUUCGGGAAACCGUAUCUAAUACCGGUUAAUAUUUUGAACCGCAUGGUUCAAAAGUGAAAGACGGUCUUGCUGUCACUUAUAGAUGGAUCCGCGCUGCAUUAGCUAGUUGGUAAGGUAACGGCUUACCAAGGCAACGAUGCAUAGCCGACCUGAGAGGGUGAUCGGCCACACUGGAACUGAGACACGGUCCAGACUCCUACGGGAGGCAGCAGUAGGGAAUAUUCCGCAAUGGGCGAAAGCCUGACGGAGCAACGCCGCGUGAGUGAAGAAGGUCUUCGGAUCGUAAAACUCUGUUAUUAGGGAAGAAAAGAUGUGAAAGUAACUGUGCACAUCUUGACGGUACCAAAACAGAAAGCAACGGCUAACUACGUG
rnacentral:rRNA from 1 species